rnacentral:rRNA from 1 species
AUUGAACGCUGGCGGCAGGCCUAACACAUGCAAGUCGAACGAGUGGCGGACGGGUGAGUAAUGUCUGGGAAACUGCCCGAUGGAGGGGGAUAACUACUGGAAACGGUAGCUAAUACCGCAUACCAUCGGAUGUGCCCAGAUGGGAUUAGCUAGUUGGUGGGGUAACGGCUCACCUAGGCGACGAUCCCUAGCUGGUUUGAGAGGACGACCAGCCACAUUGGGACUGAGACACGGCCCAAACGCCUACGGGAGGCAGCAGUGGGGAAUAUUGCACAAUGGGCGAAAGCCUGAUGCAGCCAUGCCGCGUGUAUGAAGAAGGCCUUCGGGUUGUAAAGUACUUUCAGCGAGGAGGCGUUACUCGCAGAAGAAGCACCGGCUAACUCCGUGCCAGCCGCCGCGGUAAUAC